rnacentral:lncRNA from 1 species
GAUGUGUGUAUCUCCUUUUGAUUGACUGUUUGAAUUUAUAUUCUGAAUUGUGUACAUCUGACUGCAUACAUACAUACAUAUGCAUAAAUCUUUUUGGGUGGGGUGUUGAAAAGAAGGGAGAUUUACGAUUUGACAGUUUGUCUGCAUUCUGAAAGCCCUUAAUAAUACCCAGUGGGUUAUGGGCGGUCCCAAUACCCUGAGGGUCGUGGACAUUACUGAUAACGGUAUAGUGGUUUACCGCCUUGCACUGUACCGCAUGUACGUUAG